rnacentral:misc_RNA from 1 species
GAAAUGCGAUAAGUAGUGUGAAUUGCAGAAUUCAGUGAAUCAUCGAAUCUUUGAACGCACAUUGCGCCCUUUGGUAUUCCAAAGGGCAUGCUUGUUCGAGCGUCAUUUGUACCCUCAAGCUUUGCUUGGUGUUGGGUGUUUGUCCCUGCCCUGCGCUUGGACUCGCCUUAAAUUCAUUGGCAGCCGAUAUAUUGGUUUGAAGCGCAGCACAAUUUGCGUUUUGGGCUCGUAAUUCUCGGCGUCCAGUAAGCAACAUUUAACACUUUUGACCUCGGAUCAAGUAGGGAUACCCGCUGAACUUAA